UGUAACGUCAGCAGCACAUACAGUAUACUAAAACUGGAACAAUACAGAGAAGAUUAGCAUGGCCCCUGGGCAAGGAUGGCAUGCAAAUUUGUGAAGUGCUCCAUAUUUUC